rnacentral:rRNA from 1 species
UACGGAAGGGGCUAGCGUUGGUCGGACUUACUGGGCGUAAAGCGCACGUAGGUGGCGACGUAAGUCGGGUGUGAAAGCCCCGGGCCCAACCUGGGAAUUGCAUUCGAGACUGCAUUGCUGGAGUACGGAAGAGGAGGGCGGAAUUCCCGGUGUAGCGGUGAAAUGCGUAGAUAUCGGGAGGAACAUCAGUGGCGAAGGCGGCCCUCUGGUCCAGUACUGACACUCAAGUGCGAAAGCGUGGGGAGCAAACAGG